rnacentral:rRNA from 1 species
UGAUCCAGCAAUGCCGCGUGUGUGAAGAAGGCCUGCGGGUUGUAAAGCACUUUUAGUAGGGAAGAUAAUGACGUUACCUACAGAAAAAGCACCGGCUAACUCCGUGCCAGCAGCCGCGGUAAUACGGAGGGUGCAAGCGUUAAUCGGAAUUACUGGGCGUAAAGCGUGCGUAGGCGGCUCAUUAAGUCGGAUGUGAAAUCCCCGGGCUCAACCUGGGAACUGCAUCUGAUACUGGAGAGCUAGAAUGUGGGAGAGGGAAGUGGAAUUUCCGGUGUAGCGGUGAAAUGCAUAGAGAUCGGAAGGAACAUCAGUGGCGAAGGCGACUUCCUGGACCAACAUUGACGCUGAGGCACGAAAGCGUGGGUAGCAAACAGGAUUAGAUACCCUGGUAGUCCACGCCGUAAACGAUGUCAACUAGCCGUCGGCUCCAACUAAGGGGUCGGUGGUGCAGCUAACGCAUUAAGUUGACCGCCUGGGGAGUACGCGCGCAAGCGUAAAACUCAAAGGAAUUGACGG